rnacentral:rRNA from 1 species
GACGAACGCUGGCGGCGUGCCUAAUACAUGCAAGUAGAACGCUGAAGGAGGAGCUUGCUUCUCGGGCUGAGUUGCAAACGGGUGAGUAACGCGUAGGUAACCUGCCUGGUAGCGGGGUAUGACUAUUGGAAACGAUAGCUAAUACCGCAUAAGAGUAGAUGUUGCAUGACAUUUGCUUAAAAGGUGCAAUUGCAUCACUACCAGAUGGACCUGCGUUGUAUUAGCUAGUUGGUGAGGUAACGGCUCACCAAGGCAACGAUACAUAGCCGACCUGAGAGGGGGAGCGGCAACACUGGGACGGAGACACGGCCAAGGCUCCUACGGGAGGCAGCAGGAGGGAAUCUUCGGCAAAGGACGGAAGUCUGACCGAGCAACGCCGCGUGAGUGAAGAAGGUUUGCGGAUCGUAAAGCUCGGUUGUAAGAGAAGAACGAGUGUGAGAGUGGAAAGUUCACACUGUGACGGUAUCUUACCAGAAAGGGACGGCUAACUACGUG